rnacentral:tRNA from 1 species
GCCCUGAUAGCUCAGUUGGAUAGAGCAGAGGACUUCUAAGUCUAAGGUCGUAGGUUUGAAUCCUACUCGGGGCGCCA